rnacentral:lncRNA from 10 species
UCUUGCUACCCUUGAUGCUCACAUGAGAGGACCUAUGGUAAUUUCUGACAGCCUGGGACUCCUUGGGAGAAAAAUAGAAGAUGUCACAGAUCCUGUUUUGGAAGAAAAAGCUGUUUUCCUCAUGGAACUCCAAGAAUUGUGUGAACUUGUAUCCCAGGCUGGCCAGUUAGGAUCUUCCAUUCCAUCCCCACCACCAUGACUGGUUCAGGAACAGGGAAUGAGAUUCGAUCCUGAAACCCACAUUGACACUACUGGGAAAGAUAAAUUCCCCUCCCCACCACCCAUUGAAGAGACUAAUCUGGAGCUGCCAGUGGCCACCAUGUGGAAAAAGCCCACACAAGAAUGACACCAACACAGAGGGAGAGCCAGCCUGAGAGGGAGGGAGAAGAAGAAGAAGAGACCCGAUGGCAUCUUUUCAGCUCCGGGACCCAGGUGUACUCCAC